UGAAUUACACCGACCAAUGGCCCCACUAGGUGUAAAAUCAGUGGUCCGGAUCCAAGGAUCAUCGUCAUCCAACAAAUCAAAGGGAACUGACACUUCAAUGUCAUCGUCAGCAGUUCUAUACCAGACAGAAGGUGCAGAAGCCAGCUGCAAAAGGAUCCCUAGGGAUGAAGUGCUCCAAUCUGUGUAUUGUUUCACCUCAUUGAUGUCUCUCACCAGGAACUCCAAUUUAAAGUCACAUCUAAUCACUGCAUACUCAGUUGUGUCUUUCAAGGAGAAGGCAGUAUCCCUUGUGAAACAAAACUUGCAUGUCCCAUCAAAAGGAUCCACAAGAAAAUCAACCCCAGAAGGUCCUCUCCAACCAACCAAGAAUUCAUUAUGAUUAACAGUUCCAAUCUCA
rnacentral:misc_RNA from 1 species